UACGGAGGGGACUAGCGUUGUUCGGAAUUACUGGGCGGAAGGCGCACGUAGGCGGAUUUGUAAGUCAGGGGUGAAAUCCCGAGGCUCAACCUCGGAACUGCCUUUGAUACUGCAAAUCUCGAGUCCGGAAGAGGUGAGUGGAAUUCCUAGUGUAGAGGUGAAAUUCGUAGAUAUUAGGAAGAACACCAGUGGCGAAGGCGGCUCACUGGUCCGGUACUGACGCUGAGGUGCGAAAGCGUGGGGAGCAAACAGG
rnacentral:rRNA from 1 species